CUCAUCAUUGAUCUCUCUCUUUCCUCUCUGAAAUCAAUAAAAAAAUUAUUUUUGAAAAAGAAGGUAAAUAGCUUGAUCAAUGUCACACAGCUGGUAAGGGCAAGGCCAGGAUCCAAACCCAAUCCAUCUUCUUGCAAAGCCCGGACUUCCAAGGCGUAUUGCCUCGCUCAGCCGGGAGAAAUUAAAGAAGGCACCCUGGAUGCCCCAGUGCUCGCCCUCGUCAUGCAAAGAUUUCCAGAACUGCCCUGCUUGGACAUUCUGACCCCAAGCCCAGGACGCAGCGUGUCUGCCCAACUGGGAGCAUCCGAGAACCCACAGAGCCAGCCUCCGAACCCCAAAGCAGACGCAGGAAGGCAGAGCAGAGGGCCCAAGGCCAGCGUCUGCCUAGGGCUGUGAUCUGGGCUCAGGGUCUGCCCAUUAGCAAGUUGCAGGCACUGCCUGGGCCACCAUUGGUCCAGAGCCCUUCGUACACAGCCAAGCUCACGAGGGUGGCUCAGCCACUGCCACCCUGCGCCCCAGGUCCCCGAGAAACUGGAGGCUACCAACACCCUGGGGAUCACAUUCCCCGAAACCAGAGCUCCUGAGAGCGGCCUGGCGGGUCUGCUGAAAGCUGAGAGUCCUCCCCAGCCCUCCAGGGACACAGAGCUGGAGCAGCAGAAGCCAGGAGUGACGCUGACUUGGGUCCGGACACGCCUCCCUGCGGGACAUGCCUCCAGGCGGGACAUGCCUCCAUGCGACACGCCUCCAUGCGGGACAUGCCUCCAUGCGGGACACGCCCCCAUGCGGGGACAGAAACGUGACCAUCCUAAUGAGUUCUGAGAGGCCUCCAUGUUCCAAAAUGAGUUCUGACACGAUGGCUCCUUCCUCUUGGAAGAAACCACAGUGGGCAUAGCUGGCCGCUGCCCUUACACCUUCCUGGGCCUGUGGCCAAGUUCAAGCUGGAUCUUCUGCUCCAAGACCACAGACCCAGGUCCUGCCAUGACCGCCAAGGACUUGCCUGUCCUGGUCCCCCUCCCCGUGGCAGGGGAAGCCAGUGUCACUGUCUCUGUCUUCCUGGGCACUAGCAGGCUGGCGCGGUUGGACCCGGGACUGAGCACGGGCCGACAGAUGUGGGCAGAAGUAGCUCAUGCGGCGUUCAUGCACAAUCUCCCGCCUUUACUCUGUGGGGUCAAAGGUGAGCAGGCGCUGGAUCCCUGAGUCACCACGUGGAGGUUCUCCGGGCGUCUGGUCCACCUGAGCUGCUCCCGCACCCUCCCCGGACCUCCGUUCUCACAUCGAAAGAGUGAAUCCGAAGCGGGACUAGGAUGAGGUGAGCAGGGCCCUUGCCCCGGGCACAGAAUUUAAGGGGCGGCAAAAAAACAACACGGCAUCUCAGCAAUCAAGAUAAAGAAUCGUUUCAUGUCAUAAAGAUGGGUCAGCACCGGUGCUGUGAGGGGCCGUAUUGGAGUCCGCGGCAAAAGGAGAGCAGAAGAAAGCGAAGCCCCUGCUCAUCACGGGCUGCAUGAUGCUGGCUCUCCAGGAAGCUUCCAGGCCUCACUUCUCACACCGCACCCGACCCCACCCCGCCCCGGGUUCCGUGAUGUGAUGGAAAGGCCCGCGCUGGGAGCAGAGGCCUGAGUGCGCACGAAGCGGGGGGCUUGGGGCGUUCGCUCCGUCUCUGCUCAGCUGGACCUGGUUCUCACCAAGUUCCUUCCAGCGUGAAGUUUUACGGCUCCAAGACCCUCCUGGCGGCGCCCUGUCUGUAGCAGCAUCUGGAAAAGCAAGAAGACUCGGCGGCGGCAGCCCUGGAAGACCCCAGCAGACCCUCCUCCAAGC